rnacentral:lncRNA from 1 species
AUGACGCCCAACUCCACUAAACUCCUUUUGAAAAAGCAGCAUAUUACAUCGUAAUGAAGUUACCUAUCCUGUGAAGUAACUCAAACUCCUUUUAAAAAAUAAUAAAUUACAUUGCGAGGACUCAAACUCCUUUAAAAAAAAUUACAUUACAUCAUUAUGAAGUUCUCUUUCCUGCGAGGUAACUCGUACUUCACAACCAAAACUUGGGCCAGUAAUGGCAUUUCUUCCUAUCAUCUGUAUGACAAAUUACCAUAAAAAUGAUGCCACCUACUUUUCUUAAGGACACUAGUUCGUGUUCACAAUGGACACUUAACUGUUUUCUAUGGAUAUGUAGCUCUGAGCGGGUGAGCAAGGGCACAGAAGACCUCCCGCGCCAAAAUUGUUAUUUCAAUUGCUUGGGUGAGGGGCAGCACCAUUCAGAUUCAGUCCUCGUACACAUUAUGACUUCUCAUUCCCUGUAAAAUAAUGGCAUACCAGAAUUAAGUUAUUCAUUAAGGAAAGAACUAAUAAAGAGAAUAAAAGAAAUUAGUAAUAUA